UUCUUCUCCAGUGAAUCCUUUUUGGCGAUGGAUGCCAGUCGAUUGCGUUUUAUAGCCGGUAAACGAGAUAAAGCAUAAAAAACACACAAACGGACACAGGAAGCUCUAAGCUGCAGUUUCCUAAGAGGCCCCGCCAGAUCCUUCCUAGUUCCUGGGAGCGGGACCCCUCGAGCCCCGUGCCGGCCUCGGCACCACGCCCGCCUCCCUGGGAAACGCGCGCAUUCAAACCGAGUUAGAACAGCUUCCAGCCGAGCACGGGAGGGUCCGGGGGAAGACGAAUCUGGGGCCUGGACCGUCCAGUCUGGGGGUCGGACAUUGUGAAUCCCUGGGGGAGGAAUGUGACGUCAGGCCUCACCGGCCGCCAUGGAAGAUGCCCACGCAGCUCCGCCUCCGAUGUCCUGCCAACCAGGCCCCUUCUUACCAGUUGGGUUUUAACAGUCAAGUUCUCAUUUAGAGUCAGAUGGACUGUGUGAAGAUGAAUGAACGGACCUCCUUUAGGUGGGAACGGGAGAGCCCGUGGGAGAGAUGUUACCCCGAACCGGAAGGUGCCCCCUCCUCUCCCCGGGAGGCACGGCCUACUGCACUGCCCAGCAGGAGGGGGGCUCCUCCAGGAACCACGAUGGUCACCACCCUCCUAACGCAGUUUCCUCCGGUGCAUCCUUUGUUGGCAGCCCCGCUGCCCGCAGCCUCGCCUCUAAAAGAACGUGCCUUUCCAUUGGUCUCUGGACUGAACCCCGGUUCACCUGCCUUUGGACUGAAUGUCCUGAUUUAUUGUUCCCAAUAAACCCCUUUGCUGGAGAAAUAGCUGGCGGCUUAAGAGAGGAAGAGGAAAAGAGAGAGAGAGAGAAAUCAAUGAUGAGAGAGCAUCAUUGAUUAGCCGCCUCCUGCACACCGGCCACUGGGGAUCGAGUCCACAACACAGGCCUGUACCCUGACCGAGAAUCGAACUGUGACCUGAUUCGUAGGCCAACGCUCAACCGCGGAGCCGUGCUGGUCGGGCAAGUGUGAGUUCUUGUUGGAGAUGGCAGGGAACGCUGAACUGAGACCUUAGAGGGCCCAAUGCUGCAAAUGUGGGGUGCCCCCUCCCACAAAGUCCCAAUAAACUCCGCUACGGAAUGAGC